rnacentral:rRNA from 1 species
AUUGAACGCUGGCGGCAUGCUUUACACAUGCAAGUCGAACGGCAGCGCGGGCUUCGGCCUGGCGGCGAGUGGCGAACGGGUGAGUAAUGCAUCUGAACGUGCCCAGUAGUGGGGGAUAGCCCGGCGAAGGCCGGAUUAAUACCGCAUACGACCUGAGGGUGCAAGCGGGGGACCGAAAGGCCUCGCGCUAUUGUAGCGGCCGAUGUCGGAUUAGCUAGUUGGUGGGGUAAAGGCUUACCAAGGCGACGAUCCGUAGCUGGUCUGAGAGGACGACCAGCCACACUGGGACUGAGACACGGCCCAGACUCCUACGGGAGGCAGCAGUGGGGAAUUUUGGACAAUGGGGGCAACCCUGAUCCAGCCAUGCCGCGUGCGGGAAGAAGGCCUUCGGGUUGUAAACCGCUUUUGUUCGGGAAGAAAUCCUCUGGGCUAAUACCCCGGGGGGAUGACGGUACCGGAAGAAUAAGCACCGGCUAACUACGUG